rnacentral:rRNA from 1 species
AGAGUUUGAUCCUGGCUCAGAACGAACGCUGGCGGCAGGCUUAAUACAUGCAAGUCGAACGGUCAAAGCUCCUUCGGGAGUGUAUAAAGUGGCGAACGGGUGAGUAACAGGUGGAUAACCUGCCUUUUGGUAGAGGAUAACGGCUGGAAACGGCCGCUAAUACUGUAUGUGAUUUUCCGGUCCCCGGACUGGUUAAGGAAAGGCGCUUCGGCGCCGCCAAAAGAUGGAUCCGCCCCCCAUUAGCUAGUUGGUAGGUAACGGCUUACCAAGGCUUCGAUGGGUAGCCGAGCUGAGAGGUUGAUCGGCCACACUGGAACUGAGAUACGGUCCAGACACCUACGGGUGGCAGCAGUAGGGAAUAUUGCGCAAUGGGCGAAAGCCAGACGCAGCCAUGCCGCGUGAGUGAUGAAGGCCUUCGGGUCGUAAAGCUCUUUUCUGAGGGAAGAAACGUUCAGGGAGGUAAUGCCCUGGAUCUGACGGUACCUUACGAAUAAGGGACGGCUAACUCCGUGCCAGCAGCCGCGGUAAUACGGAGGUCCCAAGCGUUGUUCGGAUUUACUGGGCGUAAAGGGAGCGCAGGCGGAUCGGUAAGUGGAAAGUGGAAUUCCGGGGCUCAACCUCGGAAGUGCUUUCCAAACUGUCGGUCUUGAGUACGUGAGAGGAAGGCGGAAUUCAGGGUGUAGCGGUGAAAUGCUUAGAUAUCCUGAGGAACACCAAUGGCGAAAGCAGCCUUCUGGCACGAAACUGACGCUGAGGCUCGAAAGCGUGGGGAGCGAACAGGAUUAGAUACCCUGGUAGUCCACGCCGUAAACGUUGUAUACUAGGUGUAGGAGGUAUCGACCCCUUCUGUGCCGCAGCUAACGCAUUAAGUAUACCGCCUGGGGAGUACGCGCGCAAGCGUGAAACUCAAAGGAAUUAACGGGGGCCCGCACAAGCGGUGGAGCAUGUGGUUUAAUUCGAGGCAACGCGAAGAACCUUACCCAGACUUGACAUCCCGAGACAUCCAUGGAAACAUGGCUUUCCCUUCGGGGACUCGGAGACAGGUGUUGCAUGGCUGUCGUCAGCUCGUGUCGUGAGAUGUUGGGUUAAGUCCCGCAACGAGCGCAACCCCUGUUCUCAGUUACCAGCACAUAAUGGUGGGCACUCUGAGGAGACUGCCGGUGAUAAGCCGGAGGAAGGUGGGGACGACGUCAAGUCAUCAUGGCCCUUACGUCUGGGGCUACACACGUGCUACAAUGGCCGGUACAAUGAGCUGCAAUGCCGCAAGGUGGAGCUAAUCUCAAAAAGCCGGUCUCAGUUCGGAUUGGAGUCUGCAACUCGACUCCAUGAAGUUGGAAUCGCUAGUAAUCGCGUAUCAGCUACGACGCGGUGAAUACGUUCCCGGGCCUUGUACACACCGCCCGUCACAUGACCCGAGCCGGGUGCACC